AAUCAUCUGCCUCAGCCGUUUCUUGGAAACUGACAGCAGGGCUCUGCCCCUCAGACACCCCGGGGCAUCGGCUGGAAUGUUGACAGCUUCCCCUUCCUCCUCACUGUCUGAGAUCGAGGGUGUGACAUUAACAGACAAGCAGCUACGCCCCUGGGGGGAGCCUGAAACAAGUCCGCUUGAUCACAAGGAGCCCAGUGGGAAGAGAAGUUUGGGAACCUCUGAACUGGAUAGGUCUAAUCAGCGAUUCCCUGCCUAAUCUCUUUAAGAAGCAUUGCUUUGCUCUGCUUUGCUUUUAGUCCACUGGAGUGUUUUGGAUGAUGGAUGGAGCCUUACUGGUUAGCCACACAAAUGCCAAUUUUUGCCUGUAAAUGAGAUUAGCCUUCCCUGGCUCAGCAAGUUAAUCUGAUUUGCUUACUGUUUCCUGGAUCCAAUGAUUUGCAGAGUUAUCAAAGCAUUUUUAAUGACUACUUAGUCUCCAUGGGUUUGCUGCUUUGUAUAGAUUUAAAAACCAUUGUUUUGUAUUUGUAUAAAUCAGACUCCAUUAUUGGCUAAUUAGCAGUCUGUUUUAUAAACCAGAAGAAAUUAAAGAGAAAAACAACCUCUGGUGCCCUCUAGUGGAAAAAAAGGGCAUUCUUUAUCCAAAGCUGCUGACAAAGUUCAUAUAGUUUGCCGGAAUAGAGAACUUUUUUGUAAACCUUCAAGCCAUGUUAGAAGCAGCAGAACAUGCUCCAAUGGAUGUGUGUGUGAGGCGGAAAGGAGUGGGGGGGAAUCCUCCAGCUUUGCCAGUGAACAUUUAAUACUUCUGCUUGAGAAACAGAGCAGCACAAUUUCUGCAAGAGCUGAAAUCAUCAUCAUUAUCACCACCACCACCUUCCAUUUCUUUCCCAACUUUCUACUGGGUAACUUUAACAAGGUGGACAUAACAGAAUAUGAAAGCCAUUCAAAGUGACUUUAACAAACUGGACAUAACAGAAUACAAAAACCAAACUGUCAAGGAACCACGUGCACGAUGGGAGUCAGCCUCCAACAUUUUGAAGCGAGAACAUCAUGUCUACAGUGCCUACCUGACCUGCCAUUCAUCAACCCCCUAAUCCUGUCUAACAUAGGAGAAACUUUGCACCCCGUGUACCUGGUGAGGAUGGUAACUGAAAACUCUUUGGACUACUGAUAGGUGCCCCACAGUUGCCUCUACCCAUGGUGGGGCGGCGGGGGGGGGGGGCAUCUCACCUCCUCAUUGGCUGAGGAACUGUCAACCUAAGUCCUUGUGGCCUACCUCUGAUUGGUGGAAGGGGCUCACCACCCUUCCAGGUGCUUUGCCUAAGAAACUCUUUAAAAGUUGUGUGUUGCCUUUGUUAAGUGUCAGCUAAUUUCCAUCUACUGGCUGGACAAUUCUUCAUCAAGAUAUGUGUUUUGCUUCAGACUUUGGGAUGUGUUUGGAGUUAGAAAUUACUUUUGCCUCCCCCACCCGCAAAUGACGACCUGCUCCCGGUAGAUUAAUAAAGUAAUUUUUUUUAGAGAGAACAA